CAGCCGCCGCGGGAAUACGAAGGGUGCAAGCGUUACUCGGAAUUACUGGGCGAAAAGCGUGCGUAGGUGGUGGUUUAAGUCCGUUGUGAAAGCCCUGGGCUCAACCUGGGAAUUGCAGUGGAUACUGGGUCACUAGAGUGUGGUAGAGGAUAGUGGAAUUUCCGGUGUAGCAGUGAAAUGCGUAGAGAUCGGAAGGAACAUCUGUGGCGAAGGCGACUAUCUGGGCCAACACUGACACUGAGGCACGAAAGCGUGGGGAGCAAACAGGAUUAGAUACCCCGUAGUCCCUGUCUCUUAUACA
rnacentral:rRNA from 1 species